GAUGAACGCUAGCGGCAGGCCUAAUACAUGCAAGUCGAACGGUGUCUUCGGACAUAGUGGCGCACGGGUGCGUAACACGUAUGCAACCUACCUUACAUUGGGGGAUAGCCUUUCGAAAGGGAGAUUAAUACCGCAUAAGACAGUAGCUGGGCAUCCAGCAGCUGUUAAAGAUUUAUCGAUGUAAGCUGGGCAUGCGUCCAAUUAGCUAGUUGGUGAGGUAACGGCUCACCAAGGCAAUGAUUGGUAGGGGAACUGAGAGGUCAAUCCCCCACACGGGCACUGAGAUACGGGCCAGACUCCUACGGGAGGCAGCAGUAGGGAAUAUUGGGCAAUGGACGCAAGGCUGACCCAGCCAUGCCGCGUGCAGGAUGAAGGCGUUAUGCGUUGUAAACUACUUUUAUACAGGAAGAAACGACUCUUGCGAGAGGCAUUGACGGUACUGUAUGAAUAAGCACCGGCUAACUCCGUGCCAGCAGCCGCGGUAAAAC
rnacentral:rRNA from 1 species